rnacentral:rRNA from 1 species
CGCGUAGGCGGCCGAGCAAGUCAGUAGUGGAAGUCCAUUUUUCAAGGGUGGAAGUGCUAUUGAAACUGCAUGGCUUGAGUGCAGGAGAGGUUAUCGGAAUUCCCGGUGUAGCGGUGAAAUGCGUAGAGAUCGGGAGGAACACCAGUGGCGAAGGCGGGUAACUGGACUGCAACUGACGCUGAGGCGCGAAAGUGUGGGGAGCAAACAG